rnacentral:rRNA from 1 species
AGUGAACGCUGGCGGUAGGCCUAACACGUGCAAGUCGAACGGCAGCACAGUAAGAGCUUGCUCUUACGGGUGGCGAGUGGCGGACGGGUGAGGAAUACAUCGGAAUCUACUUUUUCGUGGGGGAUAACGUAGGGAAACUUACGCUAAUACCGCAUACGACCUACGGGUGAAAGCAGGGGAUCUUCGGACCUUGCGCGAUUGAAUGAGCCGAUGUCGGAUUAGCUAGUUGGCGGGGUAAAGGCCCACCAAGGCGACGAUCCGUAGCUGGUCUGAGAGGAUGAUCAGCCACACUGGAACUGAGACACGGUCCAGACUCCUACGGGAGGCAGCAGUGGGGAAUAUCGGACAAUGGGCGCAAGCCUGAUCCAGCCAUACCGCGUGGGUGAAGAAGGCCUUCGGGUUGUAAAGCCCUUUUGUUGGGAAAGAAAAGCAGCAGGUUAAUACCCCGCUGUUCUGACGGUACCCAAAGAAUAAGCACCGGCUAACUUCGUG